GAUGAAGAACGUAGCGAAAUGCGAUAAGUAAUGCGAAUUGCAGAAUUCAGUGAAUCAUCGAAUCUUUGAACGCACAUUGCGCCCGCUAGUAUUCUGGCGGGCAUGCCUGUCUGAGCGUCAUUUCAACCCUCGCCCCCGGCUUUUGCUGGGAGCGGUGUUGGGGAUCGGCCGCCCGUCACUGGGAGGCCGGCCCCGAAAUAGAGUGCCGACCACGCCGUGUGCUCCUCUGCGUAGUAGUAAAUCACCUCGCAGGCGGACAGCGGUGCGGCCUGCCGUAAAACCCCCAACUCUUUCUGGUUGACCUCAGAUCAGGUAGGAAUACCCGCUGAACUUAAGCAUAUCAAUAAGCGGAGGA
rnacentral:misc_RNA from 1 species